CUAUAAUUUAACCAUCACGAC
rnacentral:siRNA from 1 species